AUUGAACGCUGGCGGCAGGCCUAACACAUGCAAGUCGAGCGGAUGAAGGGAGCUUGCUCCUGGAUUCAGCGGCGGACGGGUGAGUAAUGCCUAGGAAUCUGCCUGGUAGUGGGGGAUAACGUCCGGAAACGGGCGCUAAUACCGCAUACGUCCUGAGGUAGAAAGUGGGGGAUCUUCGGACCUCACGCUAUCAGAUGAGCCUAGGUCGGAUUAGCUAGUUGGUGGGGUAAAGGCUUACCAAGGCGGCGAUCCGUAACUGGUCUGAGGGGAUGAUCAGUCACACUGGAACUGAGACACGGUCCAGACCCCUACGGGAGGCAGCAGUGGGGAAUAUUGGACAAUGGGCGAAAGCCUGAUCCAGCCAUGCCGCGUGUGUGAAGAAGGUCUUCGGAUUGUAAAGCACUUUAAGUUGGGAGGAAGGGCAGUAAGUUAAUACCUUGCUGUUUUGACGUUACCAACAGAAAAGCACCGGCUAACUUCGUG
rnacentral:rRNA from 1 species